rnacentral:lncRNA from 1 species
UUCGAAUUAAAAAAUUUAGGUCACCGUUCUAUAAUAUAAUUUACAAGAAAUUCCCUUACAUAUUUUUAUUACAAUCUUUUAUCCUCUAACUUCUACAAAGUUUAAAAAACGUAUCUGUUCAGCCCACUUAAACCCGCGACCAGUAGUUCGUGGCCUCGGUCUCAGGCUAGUUCAUACAAAAGGACCACCAUCACCGGGACAGCGAAGCCCGUUAAAAUUGAGACCGACCCACUUAGGCCCGGGCUGGUCCAAAUGCCACCCUUAUACUCAAUCUUAUACUUGAGCUUUGGCUUGACGAAUCGUUGGCAGGCUGUUGAAAAAUUUGCAGUCCCAGUGAAAUUGAUCUUUGAAAGUGAAUCUGUUAUAAUUCAUUCCAAGAAUAAGAAAAGAGUUUCUAUAAUUGGUCCAUGAUUGCCGGUCGUUUCCUUCUUCGAAGUAGAAUUUGUCAUAAAUUCUCCUUAAGUUGUUCCUUCGUUUAUGGGAUUGAUAGACUUCUUUUUUCGACACGUAUCUUCAGCAAUAAGGGCAACUGUAAAUCUUGGUCCUUUCGUUAUUGUAUCAACAAUCCUUGUUUUCAUAUUUGCUUCAAUCUUGAAUUUUCCUUACUUGUUUCCAUUGAAAGAUAUUUGACUUGAUUCUUUUACUACUUACUUUCUUGACGUUGUCCGUACAUCAUAGAGAUAUUUGCUCAUAACCUUUAUUUCAUCUCUCAUGAUCUGUACCAUAGUAAUAUAUUAUUUUUCAUCAUUGAAAUCUAUAUCAAACAGUAAAAACAUUGCGUCAAUUGAAGAGGAAAGAGGAACAUUUUAAUGGUACUGAGGAAUCAGAAGAAGAAUAAACUUUAGCCAAGGAACAACUAGAAACUGGUACUUGAAUUGUCAUAAUGACUUUAUUAACAACUUUUAUUUGGACAUGAGUUAAACUUUAUGCCAAAUAUUAAAUGAAGUUACUGAAGAAAGAAUGACUUGAGGUCGAAUUAUGUUUUUGUGGGAAGAGAUAUGCAAUUGAAGCUUUUGCAAGUUAUGCUCACGAGUGCCCUCCAGUAGUACCUUCCCCUUUACUGUCACAAAACAAAAAAUGAGGGAAAAACUGAAAAUCACAUUUGGUAAGAAGGAAAUGCCAUCAGUGGCAGCUGUUGAGGAGGUGAGGCUGGUAGUGAGUGAUAGAGAGGAAGCCAUUAAUGUGAGUCAUGCUACUCUGAUACCAUAGAAGGGUUUGAACAUAGGAAGAAAAU